AUUGAACGCUGGCGGCAUGCCUUACACAUGCAAGUCGAACGGCAGCACGGGAGCAAUCCUGGUGGCGAGUGGCGAACGGGUGAGUAAUAUAUCGGAACGUGCCCAGUCGUGGGGGAUAACGCAGCGAAAGCUGUGCUAAUACCGCAUACGAUCUCUGGAUGAAAGCGGGGGACCUGCAAGGGCCUCGCGCGAUUGGAGCGGCCGAUAUCAGAUUAGCUAGUUGGUGGGGUAAAAGCCCACCAAGGCGACGAUCUGUAGCUGGUCUGAGAGGACGACCAGCCACACUGGAACUGAGACACGGUCCAGACUCCUACGGGAGGCAGCAGUGGGGAAUUUUGGACAAUGGGCGCAAGCCUGAUCCAGCAAUGCCGCGUGCAGGAUGAAGGCCUCGGUUGUAACUAGCUUUGUUACGGUAGCGAACGGUUACGC
rnacentral:rRNA from 1 species